CUCCUCACCGUCAGUUUUAUAUGCAUCAAAUAUAUUAAUGGUAACAGAUUGUGUUCGUAUCGUGCUUGUCACUGCCUUAAUGGGCACAUGUACCCUAUUGAGUUUUGUACAAGUCAACAAAAUCUACCCUAUUAAAGAAGGAAAAUGAAAGAUGGAAAACGGAGAAAAAUGCAGUGGGCAAUUUGGUAGUUUCAACAGAACUAAGAAAUCCAUUGCGUUGCCCUAAAUGUGCCUCUUAUAUAUUCCCAACUUCAUCCGAAGGCGGCUACUACUCUCGGCUCUCGCACACCAGUCCUUGUUUGAUAAUGAUGGACAGGUCGGUCAAAGAAGAAGAUGAAGAUGACAAAGACAUGGAGAUGUGCAUGUCUUUUAAGCAUCGGAUCAGUGAUUUACCAGACUGCGAGGUUUGAUGAGAACUUUGCUCUUUGAAAUGUCUUUUGGUUUUGUGCUUCACGAUCUGAGUUAUUCACCUUUAUUUUUUGUAUUGCUGCAUUAGCUUUUGCUGACUCUUAUUCUUUUACUGAUUUGAGAUGUAUUUGAUUUCUACGACUUAACUAUUCCCUUGUGUGUGCAUCUGGGGUCAUAUCUUUGGGUCCAAUUCUGUGUCAUCAUUGUCUAUAUGCUUAGUUCAGAAGUGCAUGCUUUUCUUGUUCUACCAUCAACAGAUUGGGCUAUAAUGGUGGUCCUUUGGGCGUGGGAUUAAAACGUUAUCAAUGUCCUGAAUACUUUUUUCUAUAUCUAUGCAUCUGCUCAUCUUGAGAGGUGAUAGUUUCCCUCAGUCUCUCGCUUCCCUACAUAUCAUAGGCAUUACUUACUAUGCUUUUGAUAAAUUUGGCAUCAUCGUCCUACAGUUUCAUUCACUUUUACCAGGUGAAGGCUUUUGUGGGGAUUUGUUUACUGGGUACUUAAAUAUUGCCAGGACUUUUAAAUGUGUGGUUGUAAUGUUUUCCGAACUAAUGGCUCCUAACCACUGAAUAAGUUUGCAAGAUAUAGGGAGUCUCGAGCUUAUGCUUGCUUUGUAAUUUGUGGUUCGGGUUUUGAUUGUCACGGGGUAACACGUUUCUUAUAUCCAUUUUGCUUUGAUGUAUUGGAUAGCUUCCAUUUCUCUAAUCUCUUCUUAUUUAGUUCUCUUUUAACUUCUGCAAUUACGUUAAUGUCCAAAUUUGGGAUUUGGGAGUUGUAGAUGCUUGCACAUUCUUGAAUUCUUAGCUGAUCCAAGCAUUAGUAGUGUUGUUGGUAGGCAAUGACCUUGAAGUUACAUAGUUGCUUCUUGUAGUUAUGUAUGUUUCUUUGGUGACAGGUAGUUUAAGGUUUAAUUACACACCCUUUCUGUUUGUUGUGGCUUGGCUUGCAUGGACUUGGACGUUGUUGGCAAGGGAGUGUGUCUUGUUGUCACGUUCCUUUAAGUUGGACAUUCAUCUUAUCUCUAGGCUGCUCAUAUUGAUUGACAAAAGCCACUAAUGGGUUUUGGGAUUUGCUUGUACAUAGGACAACAUAGAAGGUUGUAUUCCUUGAUGAACUUAUGCAACUACUAAUUGUUUUUCAUUUCUGAUAGCACUCAAGGGAGGAUAAUCAGACACCCGAGGAGGAGGGCAUCAUGCAUGACGGUAUCUUUGUGAUGGUUCAGGUAGGCUCCACCAAAAAUAUCUACCUGGUCGAAACCAAUGAACCUCAAGAUACCAGACGACUGUGUGGAUUACAUCCUCGAAAAGGAUGAGAUAAGUCCGUGGCCCUGAGGUUGAUGAAGGGGACCUUGAGGAUUGGGAGGAUGACGUGCGCAAAGAUAUGUCUUAUGAGGAGUUGGUGGCCUUGGUGAGGAUACUGGAAAUGCGAAAAUCGGAUUGGGUGAGGAAACAAUCUUGGCAGGAGUAGGGUGGCGUAGCUAUCAACUGCUGAAUUCAGGAUAUCCAGUGGAGGAUAUGUGUGUCAUAUGCCAGGAAACUAUGCGGAUGGCUAGGAACUCGGAAACCUCGAUUGCGGGCAUAAGUUUCAUUUCAAUUGCUCCUAGCAAUGGCUCGUGCAGAAGAAUGCUCGUCCCCUGUGCAAAAGGGCUGUGGUGGCUAUCUCUCAAAAUGCUCGUCCCCUGUGCAAAAGGGUUGUGGUGGCUAUCUGAGAGAUGAAGCAUUAUUCUCAUGGCCUCCUUUUUCUCCCAAAUAAAAGAUGAUAUACUGAUCCAGGAGUUUGAACUGUGAAGCCCUUCUUCUUUACUAGCCAUGAUGCCUUGUCGAAGAACAAACCCCAUUUUUCCUUCCAUGGUCCUCUUCUUGCAGCCGUUGUGAAGGAUCCUCUCUUGGACCAGCAAAACGUAGAAUCGGCUGGAAAUGCCGAAAGCCUGGGGCGAAAUACUCGUAGGGGACUAACUCCUACAACAGCGGAAAAUACAAUUGGUUUUUCAGACUCCGUCAAUGCUCAUAGCUCUCAUAAUGGUUUUUCAGGCUAACUUGGGCUCUGAAGGGCAAGUUGGAGGCAACUCUGACUAUGGAGUUUGUAAUCCAAGGGAUUCACCACUUGGAGUUCUGAACUUCUGAUGAUAAGAGAUGCAGGAAGUAACGACAUCACACCUCGUUUUCUACGUGUCUCGCACCCUUUCGCGGGUGCUCAAUGGAGAGAAAUUUGGUGACCAAAGUUUACUUGUUCCUUUUCCUUUCUCGAAGUUUUGUUUGAAUCAGUUGUUGCUAUUUCUUUUACUAGUUUGUUGAUUCUAGUUAUAAUAUCAGAUGUACUAUCAGUUCAAAAAAAUAAAUAAAUGCAGGGUCAUUUAUAAAAAUUAUCAAAUUUCGCCGACCAAAAAAUGAAAAUUAUUAAAUGCCCAUGACUUCUUUUCCGCCACAUAUUGAUGCAGAGAUUAAGAUAAAGUAUAUACAUCUCACUCUAUUGUACUAGUGAAAUAAGGACCUAAGGCACCAUGUGCCGGGGUCUCUUGGGAUCCCUAUUUUCAGAAAUCAGUGGAAACAAAUUAAAUGUGACCCUAUCUUCAAAUGUAAUACAUAACACGACUUUUGCAACAUGUUGACACCCUACAAUAUACUAUUUAAACGAGUCUUUACUUUCGUUGACUUCCCAUCUUCACUGCCAGAAAACAAAGAACUACACAGAAGGUGCUUUCUUUUGUUUCCCGGCGAGGGAAACUGGCCCUACAUUACUGUUUGAGAUUAAGCAAAUUCAUCCAUUUUGCACUCUUAAUGUUGUUGCACUCUUCUUUCUUCAUUGCUAUUAACAUCUCCUUACUGUCAGUUUUGUAUGCACCCAAUAAAUUAAUGGUAACGGAUUGUGUUCAUAUCCUGUUUGUUACUGCCUUACUGGGCACAUGUACCCUUUUGAGUUUUGUACGAGUCAACAAAAUCUACCCCAUUAAAGAAAGAAAAUGAAAGAUGGAAAAGGAAGAAAAAUGCAAUGGGCAAUUUGGUAGUUUCAACAGAACUAAGGAAAUCCAUUGUGUUGCCCUAAAUGUGCCUCACUGCC